UAAGGAAUAUUGCUCAAUGGGAGAAAUCCUGAAGCAGCAACGCCGCGUGGAGGAUGAAGGGUCUAUGACUUGUAAACUCCUGUAAAGAAGGAAAAAAUUCCCAUUUGAUGGGAGAUGAUGGUACUUCUGGAGUAAGCCCCGGCUAACUACGUGCCAGCAGCCGCGGUAAUACGUAGGGGGCAAGCGUUGUCCGGAUUUACUGGGUGUAAAGGGUGCUCAGGCGGAUUUGUAAGUCAGAGGUGAAAUCUUACAGCUUAACUGUGAAACUGCCGUUGAUACUGCAAGCCUAGAGUAUGGAAGAGAGUGAUGGAAUAUCUGGUGUAGCAGUGAAAUGCGUAGAUAUCAGAUAGAACACCAAUGGCGAAGGCAGUCACUUGGUCCAUUACUGACGCUAAAGCACGAAAGCGUGGGUAGCAAAC
rnacentral:rRNA from 1 species